rnacentral:lncRNA from 1 species
UCCACCUUAUUUUUUUUUUUUUGCUUUUUUUUUUAUAUACAUAUGGGUAUUUUGUUUGCUUGUACAUCUGUGCACUGUAUUCGUGCAGCCCUUGCAGCGGCCAGAAGAGGGCAUCAGAUUCCCGGGGAACUGGAGUUACAGAUGCUUGUCAGCCACUAUGUGGGUUCUGGGAAUGGAACCUAGAUCCUCUGGAAGCACAGCCAGUACUCUUAACCGCUAAACCAUCUCUCCGACCCUCCACCCUAUUUAUUGAGUCUGUGUCUUUCCACAGAGUCCCUUGACAGGCCGGACAGCAAGCCCCAUAUUCACAUGUAUCUAACUCCUCAGCACAGGGUUCCAGCAUGAGCCAGUGCUCUGCCUGAGGGGGUGAACCCAGGUCCUCGAGGCUGCCCAGCCGGCCCUCUCCUCAGCCCUGCAUCACAAUUCUUAAGUUCAUUCUCUGAGGAUCUGUUGAAUGCAAACACAAGCCGUGUUCUGUCUGUCUGAGACAGGGUCUCUCUAUAUAGCCCAGAUUGGAAUUUAUUGUCCCCCUGCAUCAGCCUCCACAGGCUAAAAUUAUUGCUGUGUGCCAACAGGUUUAAGCAAUCAUUUUUGUUUCGGUUACUGAGUUAAUACUUAAACCUUUAAGUUGUGCUG